rnacentral:rRNA from 1 species
UAGGGAAUCUUCGGCAAUGGACGAAAGUCUGACCGAGCAACGCCGCGUGAGUGAAGAAGGUUUUCGGAUCGUAAAACUCUGUUGUUAGAGAAGAACAAGGACGUUAGUAACUGAACGUCCCCUGACGGUAUCUAACCAGAAAGCCACGGCUAACUACGUGCCAGCAGCCGCGGUAAUACGUAGGUGGCAAGCGUUGUCCGGAUUUAUUGGGCGUAAAGCGAGCGCAGGCGGUUUCUUAAGUCUGAUGUGAAAGCCCCCGGCUCAACCGGGGAGGGUCAUUGGAAACUGGGAGACUUGAGUUCAGAAGAGGGGAGUGGAAUUCCAUGUGUAGCGGUGAAAUGCGUAGAUAUAUGUAGGAACACCAGUGGCGAAGGCGGCUCUCUGGUCUGUAACUGACGCUGAGUCUCGAAAGCGUGGGGAGCAAACAGG